AAAGUAGAGCGGUAAGUAGAGCAUUUAAUCCUUAAUGGUUUCUGUUCCUACUUCCCACUGGAGCACUGAACCAGUGUCUCAUUAAUUAAAACUAAAUCUUAAUUCUCCCACUUACCAAAAAAGUGAGUGUGUAUAUAGUUUUUCCUGCCAGGAUGUUGUAGACCCCUAAUUUAAGCGCACAACAUGGUUAAACUGAAAGAGCAAUGACCAUAUUGUUUGGCACUCCUCUCAGCUAACAACUGUUAACUGUGGCCCCCAUUGGCCCAGGCAAGUGUGGGAAAACGUUGCCUGCUCUGAUGAGUUUUGAUUUCUGUUGUUUGUUAUUAGUUGAAAAAUUCAAAAAGGGAGAGGUAUGUAGGAGGCAUCUGGAUCAGAUAAACCAGAGCUGAACAUAAUUGCUACCUUAGUUUGGUGUUUUAUCUUAAAAAGAUUCCUAUGUAAUUGGAGGUUGAACAGCUGCAUAAUUGUGACAUUCCGACCUACAUAUUUGUCACACCUUGUCAGCUCAUCAACCAUUUAAAGCAACGCUGCAAGUUAUCGGUCAGUCACUAGACACAGCAGAGUAUGCUUCUUUCACCUUUUCGCAUGCAAACCGUGUCGAGAUGUGUAAGCUCACUCUAACUGCAGCUCUCUGUUUCAUCAUCGCCAGCUUGGGUUUACCUGGCAUUGAAACACAAACUGUCCCUGGAAACCUCUGCACUGGAAGACUAGAUGGGCAGUACACAAACCCUAAUGACCCACAUUCUUUUCUCAGCUGUGCAAAUGGAGAAACCCACAUUAUGCCAUGCCCAUCAGAUUUGGUCUAUGUAGAACCCACUAAUAGGUGUGACUAUCCCAGUAAUACAACUACCAAUGGAACCCUCUGCGCUGGAAGACCAGAUCGGCAGUACACAAACCCCUGUAACCAACAUUCUUUCCUCAGCUGUGUAGAUGGACUAACCUACAUCUUGCAAUGCCAAUCAAAUGAUGUCUAUGUAGAAGCCAUCAAUAGGUGUGUCAACCUCUGCGCUGGAAAACCAGAUGGGAACUACACCAACCCUGGCCACACUCAUUCUUUUCUCAGCUGUGUAGAUGGAGUAACCAGCAUCAUACGAUGCCAACCACAUUUGGUCUAUAACCCAUACAUUAAGGUUUGUGAAUAUCCAAGUAGUCCAACUAAGAAAGGAAAGCGCUGCUAUAGGAAAAAAGCACACAAACCCUAGAGACCAACAUUCUUUUCUCAGCUGUGUAGCUAAACUAACCUACGUCCUACAACGCUCAGUAGAUUUGGUCUAUGUAGAAAUCAUUAAUGCUUGUGAGUAUCACUAAAAGAAAUAGUAGAUAUUGGAGGCCAAUGUAGUAGAAGAAAUGGGCAAUACCCCAACCCUGAUAAUCACCAUUCUUCUCGGGUCCUUCUACCACAUUCGCAUUUCUCAUACCCACCACCACAACCACCAAUACUUUUACCACCACACCUCCCAAAGCAAGUUAUUGGGACCGAAUCAAAUUCUGGUAAAUGUGGAAUUUACGGUGUUUUUUUUUGUUGAUGUGAUUGGUAUCAUUUUGGACGUGAAAAAAAAUGUGAUAGUGGUUUAAUAUCAUUAUUUAAUUAUAUGGGGUAUAGACUUAAUCACAUUGUUUUUUUUCUCUUUCGUUUAUGUAUAGCCAUUGGUGGAUGGAUUGGUCUUACAUUAUGACACUAAUGUGGCAUAUUGUAAAUAUGUUUAUGUGAUCUCUGUCUAAAUUGAAAUAAUACAAAGCAAUGAAUACCAUCAUAAUUAUGAAACAAUGAAUGAAUAAACUACAACAAAUAAAGCAGACUCAUUGUUGCAAGUUUUUAUUUUUUAGU